rnacentral:rRNA from 1 species
GACGAACGCUGGCGGCGUGCCUAAUACAUGCAAGUCGAGCGGACGUUUUUGAAGCUUGCUUUAAAAACGUUAGCGGCGGACGGGUGAGUAACACGUGGGCAACCUACCUUAUCGACUGGGAUAACUCCGGGAAACCGGGGCUAAUACCGGAUAACAUCUAGCACCUCCUGGUGCCGGAUUGAAAGAGGGCUGCUUGCUCUCACGAGAAGAUGGGCCCGCGGCGCAUUAGCUAGUUGGAGGGGUAAUGGCUCCCCAAGGCGACGAUGCGUAGCCGACCUGAGAGGGUGAUCGGCCACACUGGGACUGAGACACGGCCCAGACUCCUACGGGAGGCAGCAGUAGGGAAUCUUCCGCAAUGGACGAAAGUCUGACGGAGCAACGCCGCGUGAGUGAUGAAGGGUUUCGGCUCGUAAAGCUCUGUUAUGAGGGAAGAACACGUACCGUUCGAAUAGGGCGGUACCUUGACGGUACCUCAUCAGAAAGCCACGGCUAAUUACGUGCCAGCCGCCGCCGUAA